UAAGUAGUAUUACUUACAAUAUGUACACUAUAUUAGGUAUACGCAUCCAAUAUAACUACCAUUGAGGGAAUCUGGCAUUGCCUUGGUUCUUACGUAGGUAUUUAGUACUUAGUCUCAUUAGUAAUUGUAGAUAAAAGUGGAGGUAUUAGCGAAAGUUGAAUUGUAGUGAAGUGUAGGUAUUAGCGAGUAUUAGCACAGGAUUUGUUAUUAACCGAUACGACCUUCAAGAACAGUACUCCCAUCUUACAGGUAAGCAACGCACUACAACCGGUCUGGUGGGCGGCGGCGAUCGCUUACCAUCAAGCAAUCCGUUUGAUCGCGUUUGCCUGUCAUAAGAGAAAGCUUGUAUUAAGCUUGUAUUGACCUAACUUUCAUGUAGGUAAAACCAGUAAAAUCAUUCCGUGCUGGUAUCACCAUAAAUUGAAAUAACCAUAGCAACGAAUAAACACUUUUUCUACAGGAGGCAUUGUCAUCCCGCUGUCAAUACAAUUAUUGAUCGCGCAAAAAUAAACAAACUAUAGAAAUAUAUUCACAGGUAAAAUGCCGAUUAUAGUAAAAGAGUUCACUUGGAAGCAAACUGCGGCAGCUUUAAAUAUAACGAUACCUCUCAGCCAAGGGAAGAAAGAGAAAGUGGACUUGUUCGCGACAGACACUUACAUAAAGGCGCACUACAGCCCCUUCCUGUUCGAAGUGUUCCUCCUCCAUGACGUGAACAUAGACAAGAGCAAAUGCCUCGUCAAAGAAGACCUCAUCGUCCUCGACCUGGUGAAGCGCGAGGAGAGGGAGUGGGAGCAGCUAGAGAAGGAACUAACGAAGGCGGACAAGAUGAAACUGAGACAGGAAAUUUUAGAGAAAUGCCAGGAGAAAGCUAAAGAGGAGUUUGAGCAGAAGAGGAUAAAGAAGAGUGAAAUGGAUCGGUUCACGGUGCAGAAAGCGAUGGAGAUCGAUUCUAGGCAUCAUGAGUUAAUGGAUAAAAGGCGAGACGAGCAAAGGAAGAAAGCUAUGGAUGCUCUGGAGGAGUGGAGGGUCAACACAGACGGGAAUAAAGGGGUGAAAAUAGUAGAGUUACCGGAUGAUAAGGAGAAUGGGGUUGUAAUAGAAGAGAUAACCGAUGAGAAACCGGUACCGAAAAUAGAAAGAGAUGAAGUGGCGAUUAAGAAACCACUGCAACCUGCGACACCGCGUCCUAAGAAACCGGUGAAGACCCCUGUGAAAUCAGAAUUCGUGGACAAGAAGCGCGCCGAGGCGGCGAAGCGAGUGCUGCCAGCGCUACGGAACCAGGGCAGCCUGGAGAUCCGCCACACGCCCAGGGUGUUCCCUACGCCGAGCCGCGAGUCCGCCAGGGCCGAGGAGGACGCUUGGCUAAAGAAUAUAACCUUGGCACGCCGAGCCACAGGGUUCGUGUCAGAAGACCUGCGGCCGGAGGAGCAGGACCCGGAGUGGUGCAAGAACAAGGGCGACGAGUUCUUCCGCGCCGGCAACUACCUGGGCGCCAUCAGCGCCUACACGCACGGCGUCCUGCUCUCCGACAAGCUGCCCAGCCUGUUCGCCAACCGCGCCGCCGCGCACUUCGCGCUCGGCAACUUUAACAAAUGUGUGAACGACUGCUCGACGGCGCUGGAGCUGCUGGUGCCGGCGUGCGAGACGAACCGGCGCGCGCGCGCGGCGUGCGUGGCGCGGCGCGCGGCCGGGCUGGCGCGCCUCGGCUACCUCGGCAAGGCCGUGGACGAGAUGAAGGCGGCCGCACGGCUCGUGCCCGACGACCGCACCCUCCGGCAGGAUAUCUACGACAUGGAGCGCGCCUGGGAACAGAACCCUGACGACAAUUGAAUGGAAUGUGUUGAGAGCCUUAAAUGUAUUUGUUUGACCGAAAUAGGCAGAAUGACUAGCCAAAGGCAAAGACGUGGCCUACGAUGGAGUGAGCUCACCCAGAGGAUGCCUGUUUACCCUAUGUGUUCACCCUUAUUUGAAGGUUGACGGGUUAUACAGUGCGUAAACGUAAUAAGGGCGAUAAAUGAAACCAGUCAUGUAAUUCAAUAUUGUUAUCAUUAAUUAAGAGGUGUUUUUGAGUUACUCUUCA
rnacentral:misc_RNA from 1 species